GAAAGAUGAUCUGGUUGAUAGGUCUGAGGUGGAAGUGUGGCGACACAUGGAGCUGACAGAUACUAAUCGAUCGAGGACUUAACCUAAUUU
rnacentral:rRNA from 1 species